CACCUGUGGGAGGACAGAUCCCACCAAGGCAUCACCACCUGUGUGGUGACCCCCCUCCUCCUGCCUACGCUGUUCCACAUUUCCCGAGCCAUCACCGAGGAAGGGCAACACCUGGAGGGAGGUCCCUGAGUUUGCUGCUGGGCAAGCCUGCAGGUUUUACAGGAUAAGUGGCCUCUCAUGAACUAGCAAAGCCUGUGGCCGACACUGACUUAAUCCUGGCUGGGAUGAAGGUUUUUUAGUCCAUCUGGAGGUACAAAGCUGCCUCAAACACAGCAGGACAAGCUCUGCACUUAAGAUACCUGCCCUUCCUGCAGGGAUUCAUUAGUCCCUUCCCACAGUCUGCAAGGGACUGGUCUCCUCCUUUGAACACGAGCCUUCUCCCAUUCCAUGACAGACCCAGCACCAGCCACAUGCUGUUCCUUCACCUCAUUUCUUAUUCCUCCCAAAACACAUCCCAGACUGCUCUUGUCCCAUGGCUUUUGCUUCUCUCACUGAUUUGACCCUGGUGGAGACACACAGGGGUCUGGCUUGGCCACAUGCGAGGCAGAGCCCAGGGUGUCUGUCCAUCCUGGCCUCAUCUCCAAGGCUCACAGAGUUCCAGAACUUUGUGCCAGUGGAAUGUCACUGUGCCAGCACAAGGAUCAGAGAAGGGGCAAGGUGAUGCCCACCAGCCAGCUUUUGGGGCAAUUCCUGUCUGUCACCAGGGCACAGUCAGGGAUGGGAAGCAGGAACCUGGAGGGAGGAGGGUUAAAUCCUACCUAGGUUGCUCUAGAAGGGAAAAGGAAGAAUAACACUCAAAGGCGAGGGGACACUUCAAAGACUGAUGUGGGACCGGGAGGUGACCCUGCACACACAGAACUCCAAAACUGGCAGUGGUCCUUGGUGACCAAAAAUUAACAAGUCUCUUAAAUGUGUGCUCUUUUACAAGGUCUUGAACAUGUUUUGUGAGGUCAGCAGCUCUCCAGCUGAGCUUGGCUGACACGGGCCAGCUCCAUUUGCAGAGCUGAAGCUGGUUUUCAUCCAGGGAAAUGGAAAAAGGACCCCAGGGAGGAUGAGCCUGCUGGGGAGGCAGUUCAUGGAAAUCCAAUGUAAACAAAAUAACAAGUUCUACUGAAAAUUAUUUAAAUCGUGAAUCUAUUUUGAGUCCUAUGUGGGCUUGUUUUAACAAGAUUUAAUCUUUGGAGGCUAAAAGUAUUCAACAGCUUCUUUUUACAUUUUGCCCAGAGGUGACUGUCCAAGGCCAUUAGAAACAACUCCUUAUUAGGGGAAGCAGUGGUGUGGUGCUCAGGAAGGACAGAGAGAAGACAGGGGAUGAGAAAAACCCUGGUUUUGAGGCAGAGACGAGUGAGCAGAGACAGGCACUGGGGAAGGGCGUGCCAGACCACCCAGGCUUAGAAUGCAUGGGCAGGUACCUCCAGGUACUCAAGCUACAAGAUUUGAAGCACCACUUCAGAUUCCAACUGAAGCCUGAGCUGAAGCCUGAGCUGUUUCCUGAGUGGAACAUUUUGUGUAUGAGACUGUUGUGACUGUUCUCCCUCAUGUACAAUUACAGUUCUCUCUUCUUUUCAGCCCUGUUAGGCUGAGUUUGAUGUGGGUCUAUCCAGCAAGGUCUGUGCAAGCACAGAGAUGUCUCACUGGGCUGGACACAGCCCGGGAAGAAAGGGUCUCCCUGGAUUAUCGCUGCUGCUCAGCUGCCACCAGCACUGACAUCUCUGCUGUUUAUGGUUCUCACACUAUUUGGAAGAUAACACUGACAGAAAGUUUGCCAACAGAGUCAUAAAUAAUUGAGAGCUGCAGCAGAGGAGGCUGGAAGGGAGCGGGGAGGAUUUAACAGCUGAGCUGACACAAAGCAAACCCAGCGCUGGAGUGGGCAACACGAUCCACAGAGUUGCUUUGAGUUUUGGUUUUUCCAAUUCCAUGCUCUAACUAUUGUUCCCUGGGGAGUUCAUACUUUGUAAGGCAAAUAACUCCCCCUCAUCCCCAAGGAACUGAAGGGAAAAUAUUUCUUUUAGGAAAAAAUACAUUUUAAACAGUAAAUUUGAAUCUCAGGUCAAAUAUAUGUUGAUAAAAUCUGAGGUGUUAGACUCCAGACACCAGCAAUCCCCAUUUUCCUGGCUCCAGAACUGCUUUCUGCUGCAGGAACAUGAACUAAAUCCCAAUGAGUUCCCAGAGGAAACCACAACAACUUAGCAAGGCAAAAUGGAAAACUGAAUUUUGCCUAUCAAUUUGUAUUAAAUUAAUAUAAAACUUCUCCUUUGGUUUUAUUGUACUUGAUGCUAUUUUUAUUUGUACUUUGAGAAGUUUCCCUUUCAGUUUCAGUCUUGAGAUCCAACUUUGCACACAGAGAGCAUAGAUCACUUCAAGAAACAAGUGCCACUGACCUUUGCCACUGAUCUGAUAAUGAAAUUGCCCCGGGCUCUCUCCACGGAUCCCCAGUGAACCCAAUCUGAAACCUGCUCUGCUGUUAAAACCCAGACCCAAACCAACCAGGUGUGACAGCACAUCCAUGAAGUCUGCAUGUGUGCAGCUCCACCACCACCACCACAGAGGGGCUCACUCAUCCCUAUUUUCAUGGGCCACAGUUAAGGGAUCUGCAUCAAGCUAAAUCCUGCAUUACCAAUCUGGAAGUGCUGAUCCUGACCAGUUCUGCACAACUUAUCACAGCAGCACAGAAACAUCCCUUUGGAUUAACCUUCACCACACACAACAGCCAAACAGUGCUCAGAAUUAGCAGUUAUUAGAUUUUUUUAAACAAUUUAUCACCAGCACAGUCCAACAUGCAAAACACAGCGGUGGUCCCUGCGUGACCAUCAAAUAUAUCACCUGUUCUUCCAGGGGAUGUGAUAACGGAUGGCACUGCCUGGGGCAAAACCGGGCGAAGGCGGAAUAAUUCCAACUUGUGGUGAUUAAUGGGAAGCACAGCCCCGGACAGACAGACAGACAGAAGCUGUGUGGCUUGGCCCGGUGCGUCGGAGAGCGGAGCGGCAGCGAGCGGGGUCUCGGAGGGGUGGAACACUUACUGUUGGCUAUGUUGGAAGCAGUGUAACUGUCUGCCAUUCCUGAGACCUGGCUGGCAAUGCUGAUCUCACUGGCUCUCCGGAAGCCCCUGAACUGAGGGGCUGAAAUGGGGGUGGACAGGGACGCGUUUUCCAUGAAGACGGCACCAUGAGACUGAACAACAUCUGCUACAAAGUUGAAACAGGGAAAUCAAAAUAUUAGACCAACAGACAGAGGCUGGGCAAGAUGAACUCAGGGAAGAGGAAGGAGGCAAACAAAGCUGGGAGGUGCAAAAACCUUUCAGAAUGGAUUGGAAUGAAAAAAAACCCCCACGUAUCAUCGGAGCUCUGGUUUGAAAAGAAAGCAAAGAGCACAGCAGG